rnacentral:rRNA from 1 species
UACGUAGGGUGCAAGCGUUAAUCGGAAUUACUGGGCGUAAAGCGUGCGCAGGCGGUUGUGCAAGACAGAUGUGAAAUCCCCGGGCUCAACCUGGGAAUGGCAUUUGGGACUGCAAGGCUGGAGUGCGGCAGAGGAGACUGGAAUUCCUGGUGUAGCAGUGAAAUGCGUAGAUAUCAGGAGGAAUACCGAUGGCGAAGGCAGGUCUCUGGGCUGACACUGACGCUCAUGCACGAAAGCGUGGGGAGCAAACAGG